rnacentral:rRNA from 1 species
GACGAACGCUGGCGGCGUGCUUAACACAUGCAAGUCGAACGGAAAGGCCCUGCUUUUGUGGGGUUCUCGAGUGGCGAACGGGUGAGUAACACGUGAGUAACCUGCCCUUGACUUUGGGAUAACUUCAGGAAACUGGGGCUAAUACCGGAUAGGAGCUCCUGCUGCAUGGUGGGGGUUGGAAAGUUUCGGCGGUUGGGGAUGGACUCGCGGCUUAUCAGCUUGUUGGUGGGGUAGUGGCUUACCAAGGCUUUGACGGGUAGCCGGCCUGAGAGGGUGACCGGCCACAUUGGGACUGCGAUACGGCGCAGACUCGUACGGGAGGCAGCAGUGGGGAAUAUUGCACAAUGGGCGGAAGCCUGAUGCAGAAACGCCGCGUGCGGGAUGACGGCCUUCGGGUUGUAAACCGCUUUCGCCUGUGACGAAGCGUGAGUGACGGUAAUGGGUAAAGAAGCACCGGCUAACUACGUG